rnacentral:rRNA from 1 species
UACGUAUGGGGCGAGCGUUGUUCGGAUUUAUUGGGCGUAAAGGGCGUGUAGGCGGCUCAUCAAGUCUGGUGUGAAAACUCAAGGCUUAACCUUGCAUCGGCGCUGGAAACUGGUGGGCUUGAGUUCUUGAGGGGAAGCUGGAAUUCCAGGUGUAGGGGUGAAGUGUGUAGAUAUCUGGAAGAACACCGGUGGCGAAGGCGAGCUUCUAGCAGAGGACUGACGCUGAGGCGCGAAAGCGUGGGGAGCAAACAGG